rnacentral:rRNA from 1 species
GACGAACGCUGGCGGCGUGCUUAACACAUGCAAGUCGAACGGUAAGGCCCUUCGGGGUACGCGAGUGGCGAACGGGUGAGUAACACGUGGGUGAUCUGCCCUGCACUUCGGGAUAAGCCUGGGAAACUGGGUCUAAUACCGGAUAGGACCACUGCCUGCAUGGGUGGUGGUGGAAAGCUUUUGCGGUGUGGGAUGGGCCCGCGGCCUAUCAGCUUGUUGGUGGGGUGAUGGCCUACCAAGGCGACGACGGGUAGCCGGCCUGAGAGGGUGACCGGCCACACUGGGACUGAGAUACGGCCCAGACUCCUACGGGGGGCAGAAGUGGGGAAGAUUGCACAAUCGGCGAAAGCCUGAUACAGCGACGCCGCGUGAGGGAUGACGGCCUUCGGGUUGUAAACCUCUUUCAGCACCGACGAAGCGCAAGUGACGGUAGGUGCAGAAGAAGGACCGGCCAACUACGUGCCAGCCGCCGCGGUAA